UACGUAGGGGGCUAGCGUUGUUCGGAAUCACUGGGCGUAAAGCGCACGUAGGCGGAUUGUUAAGUCAGGGGUGAAAUGCCAAGGCUCAACCUUGGAACUGCCUUUGAUACUGGCAAUCUCGAGUCCGGGAGAGGUGAGUGGAACUGCGAGUGUAGAGGUGAAAUUCGUAGAUAUUCGCAAGAACACCAAUGGCGAAGGCGGCUCACUGGCCCUGUACUGACGCUGAGGUACGAAGGCGUGGGGAGCGAACAGG
rnacentral:rRNA from 1 species